rnacentral:tRNA from 1 species
GCCUCUUUAGCUCAGUCGGUAGAGCGACGGACUGUUAAUCCGUGUGUCGUUGGUUCGAGUCCAACAAGAGGCGCCA